rnacentral:rRNA from 1 species
CGCGUGUAUGAAGAAGGCCUUCGGGUUGUAAAGUACUUUCAGCGGGGAGGAAGGGAGUAAAGUUAAUACCUUUGCUCAUUGACGUUACCCGCAGAAGAAGCACCGGCUAACUCCGUGCCAGCAGCCGCGGUAAUACGGAGGGUGCAAGCGUUAAUCGGAAUUACUGGGCGUAAAGCGCACGCAGGCGGUUUGUUAAGUCAGAUGUGAAAUCCCCGGGCUCAACCUGGGAACUGCAUCUGAUACUGGCAAGCUUGAGUCUCGUAGAGGGGGGUAGAAUUCCAGGUGUAGCGGUGAAAUGCGUAGAGAUCUGGAGGAAUACCGGUGGCGAAGGCGGCCCCCUGGACGAAGACUGACGCUCAGGUGCGAAAGCGUGGGGAGCAAACAGGAUU